rnacentral:rRNA from 1 species
GACGAACGCUGGCGGCGUGCUUAACACAUGCAAGUCGAACGGAAAGGCCCUGCUUUUGUGGGGUGCUCGAGUGGCGAACGGGUGAGUAACACGUGAGUAACCUGCCCUUGACUUUGGGAUAACUUCAGGAAACUGGGGCUAAUACCGGAUAGGAGCUCCUGCUGCAUGGUGGGGGUUGGAAAGUUUCGGCGGUUGGGGAUGGACUCGCGGCUUAUCAGCUUGUUGGUGGGGUAGUGGCUUACCAAGGCUUUGACGGGUAGCCGGCCUGAGAGGGUGACCGGCCACAUUGGGACUGAGAUACGGCCCAGACUCCUACGGGAGGCAGCAGUGGGGAAUAUUGCACAAUGGGCGGAAGCCUGAUGCAGCAACGCCGCGUGCGGGAUGACGGCCUUCGGGUUGUAAACCGCUUUCGCCUGUGACGAAGCGUGAGUGACGGUAAUGGGUAAAGAAGCACCGGCUAACUACGUGCCAGCAGCCGCGGUGAUACGUAGGGUGCGAGCGUUGUCCGGAUUUAUUGGGCGUAAAGGGCUCGUAGGUGGUUGAUCGCGUCGGAAGUGUAAUCUUGGGGCUUAACCCUGAGCGUGCUUUCGAUACGGGUUGACUUGAGGAAGGUAGGGGAGAAUGGAAUUCCUGGUGGAGCGGUGGAAUGCGCAGAUAUCAGGAGGAACACCAGUGGCGAAGGCGGUUCUCUGGGCCUUUCCUGACGCUGAGGAGCGAAAGCGUGGGGAGCGAACAGGCUUAGAUACCCUGGUAGUCCACGCUGUAAACGGUGGGUACUAGGUGUGGGGUCCAUUCCACGGGUUCCGUGCCGUAGCUAACGCUUUAAGUACCCCGCCUGGGGAGUACGGCCGCAAGGCUAAAACUCAAAGGAAUUGACGGGGCCCCGCACAAGCGGCGGAGCAUGCGGAUUAAUUCGAUGCAACGCGUAGAACCUUACCUGGGUUUGACAUGGAUCGGGAGCGCUCAGAGAUGGGUGUGCCUCUUUUGGGGUCGGUUCACAGGUGGUGCAUGGCUGUCGUCAGCUCGUGUCGUGAGAUGUUGGGUUAAGUCCCGCAACGAGCGCAACCCUUGUUCACUGUUGCCAGCACGUUAUGGUGGGGACUCAGUGGAGACCGCCGGGGUCAACUCGGAGGAAGGUGGGGAUGACGUCAAGUCAUCAUGCCCCUUAUGACCAGGGCUUCACGCAUGCUACAAUGGCUGGUACAGAGAGUGGCGAGCCUGUGAGGGUGAGCGAAUCUCGGAAAGCCGGUCUCAGUUCGGAUUGGGGUCUGCAACUCGACCUCAUGAAGUCGGAGUCGCUAGUAAUCGCAGAUCAGCAACGCUGCGGUGAAUACGUUCCCGGG